GAGCCCUUGUGAGCGAGGGGACAACAGGAAGAUGGAGGGAAAGAGCUCUGGCCUUGAGGGCCAAAGAGGACCAACUGAAGGCAAGUCACUCUCCUCAACACAGGGUCUUCCCUUCCAGCUCUGAGAAUUCAUCACUCUCCAGAACCUCUGAUUCCUUAACAGCAAAAUUGCCCCACACCUAGGAUGUUAUCAGAAGACCAGGCAGCCGACAACAUUUUAUAAACUGGACUGGGCCAGCUGAUGCUCAGAAUGUCGUCUCCACCCCAGCCCAGCUGGCAACGGCCCCACCUUGAGUGGUCAACAGCAGAGCUAUGCUCACUGCUUCCCAGAGCCCACAACCAAGGACUAACUGCUGUUCAAUCUGGAUCCUUAAAGAAUCGUCAAAGAGAACUUUCCUGCCAGCUUCAUGUGCUGUUUCAGCUGUACUUUGUGCACCUAAUGCUGCUUCUCACAGAAUUACCCUCCGCUGUCCAGAGUCUCCACAGCUAUCUCAGAGAUGAAAGGCUUUGUGACCUGUGCUACCUGUUGUCAACUACCACAGUUUCCUUGCCUAAAGACGGAGGCUUAUGGAUCUCACAAGGAUUUCAUGAGGAGAAAAUGGGAUGA
rnacentral:lncRNA from 1 species